GCCCAGCCGUAAACUUUUAUUUACACAUUAAUCGCCAGGGAACUACGAGCUAAGCUUAAAACCCAAAGGACUUGACGGUACCCCAUAUCCCCCUAGAGGAGCCUGUCCUAUAAUCGAUAAUCCACGUUCAACCUCACCAUUUUUAGUUAAUCAGCCUGUAUACCUCCGUCGUCAGCUUACCACGUGAGCGCUAAUUAGUGAGCUUAAUGUUAUUUCACCAACACGUCAGGUCAAGGUGCAGCAAAUGAAAUGGAAAGAGAUGGGCUACACUUUCUACUUUAGAAAAAACGAAAAACUACUUAUGAAAUCUAGUUGGAAGGCGGAUUUAGCAGUAAAAAGGAAUCAGCAUGUCCUUUUUAACCCGGCACUGGGGUGUGUACACACCGCCCGUCACCCU
rnacentral:rRNA from 1 species